rnacentral:rRNA from 1 species
GAUGAACGCUGGCGGCGUGCCUAAUACAUGCAAGUCGAGCGAACGGACGAGAAGCAUGCUUCUCUGAUGUUAGCGGCGGACGGGAGAGUAACACGUGGACAACCUAACUAUAAGACUGGGAUAACUUCAGGAAACCGGAGCUAAUACCGGAUGAUAAUUUGAACAGCAUGGUUCAAAAGUUAAAGAGGGUGUUGCUGUCACUUAUAGACGGAACGGCACUGCAUAAGCUAUUUGGUAAGGUAACGGCUUACCAAGGCAACGGUGAAUAGCCGACCUGAGAGGGUUAACGGCCUGCUCUGAACUGAGGAACGGUCACGACUGCAACGGGAGGCGGCCGUGGGGAAUCUUCCGCGCUGGGGUGAAGACUGACGGGGAAACGGCGCGUGAGUGAUGAAGGAAUACCGAUCGUAAAACUCAGUUAUUAGGGAUGAACAUAUGCGUAAGUAACUGUGAACAUCUUGACGGUACCUAAGCAGACAGCCACGGCUAACUCCGUG